rnacentral:rRNA from 1 species
AUUGAACGCCGGCGGCAUGCUUUACACAUGCAAGUCGAACGGCAGCACGGACUUCGGUCUGGUGGCGAGUGGCGAACGGGUGAGUAAUACAUCGGAACGUACCCAGUAAUGGGGGAUAACUAUCCGAAAGGAUAGCUAAUACCGCAUACGCCCUACGGGGGAAAGAGGGGGAUCGCAAGACCUCUUGUUAUUGGAGCGGCCGAUGGCUGAUUAGCUAGUUGGUGGGGUAAAGGCCUACCAAGGAAACGAACAGUAGCGGGUCUUAGAGGACGGUCCGCCACACUGGAGCUGAGACACGGUCCAGACUCCUACGGGAGGCAGCAGUGGGGAAUCUUGGACAAUGGGCGCAAGCCUGAUCCAGCAAUGCCGCGUGCGUGAAGAAGGCCUUCGGGUUGUAAAGCGCUUUUGUCAGGGAGCAAAUCCUUGUGGCUAAUACCCACCGGGGAUGAGAGUACCUGAAGAAUAAGGACCGGCUAACUACGUGCCAGCAGCCGCGGUAACAC